rnacentral:rRNA from 1 species
UUUUAAAUUUUUUUUUUUCUGCUCAGAUUGAACGCUGGCGGCAGGCCUAACACAUGCAAGUCGAGCGGUAGCACAGAGAGCUUGCUCUCGGGUGACGAGCGGCGGACGGGUGAGUAAUGUCUGGGAAACUGCCUGAUGGAGGGGGAUAACUACUGGAAACGGUAGCUAAUACCGCAUAACGUCGCAAGACCAAAGUGGGGGACCUUCGGGCCUCAUGCCAUCAGAUGUGCCCAGAUGGGAUUAGCUAGUAGGUGGGGUAACGGCUCACCUAGGCGACGAUCCCUAGCUGGUCUGAGAGGAUGACCAGCCACACUGGAACUGAGACACGGUCCAGACUCCUACGGGAGGCAGCAGUGGGGAAUAUUGCACAAUGGGCGCAAGCCUGAUGCAGCCAUGCCGCGUGUGUGAAGAAGGCCUUCGGGUUGUAAAGCACUUUCAGCGGGGAGGAAGGCGAUAAGGUUAAUAACCUUGUCGAUUGACGUUACCCGCAGAAGAAGCACCGGCUAACUCCGUGCCAGCAGCCGCGGUAAUACGGAGGGUGCAAGCGUUAAUCGGAAUUACUGGGCGUAAAGCGCACGCAGGCGGUCUGUCAAGUCGGAUGUGAAAUCCCCGGGCUCAACCUGGGAACUGCAUUCGAAACUGGCAGGCUAGAGUCUUGUAGAGGGGGGUAGAAUUCCAGGUGUAGCGGUGAAAUGCGUAGAGAUCUGGAGGAAUACCGGUGGCGAAGGCGGCCCCCUGGACAAAGACUGACGCUCAGGUGCGAAAGCGUGGGGAGCAAACAGGAUUAGAUACCCUGGUAGUCCACGCCGUAAACGAUGUCGAUUUGGAGGUUGUGCCCUUGAGGCGUGGCUUCCGGAGCUAACGCGUAAAUCGACCCGCU